UAGAAUGCUAACUUCAAGGAAUGGGGU
rnacentral:sRNA from 1 species